ACGCUGGCGGCAGGCUUAACACAUGCAAGUCGAACGGUAACAGGGAUUAGCUUGCUGAUUUGCUGACGAGUGGCGGACGGGUGAGUAAUGCUUGGGAAUCUGGCUUAUGGAGGGGGAUAACUACGGGAAACUGUAGCUAAUACCGCGUAAAAUCUUAGGAUUAAAGGGUGGGACUUUCGAGCCACCUGCCAUAAGAUGAGCCCAAGUGGGAUUAGGUAGUUGGUUAGGUAAAGGCUGACCAAGCCGACGAUCUCUAGCUGGUCUGAGAGGAUGACCAGCCACACUGGAACUGAGACACGGUCCAGACUCCUACGGGAGGCAGCAGUGGGGAAUAUUGCACAAUGGGGGGAACCCUGAUGCAGCCAUGCCGCGUGAAUGAAGAAGGCCUUCGGGUUGUAAAGUUCUUUCGGUGACGAGGAAGGUUGAUAGGUUAAUAGCCUAUCAAAUUGACGUUAAUCACAGAAGAAGCACCGGCUAACUCCGUGCCAGCAGCCGCGGUAAUACGGGGGGUGCGAGCGUUAAUCGGAAUAACUGGGCGUAAAGGGCACGCAGGCGGUGACUUAAGUGAGAUGUGAAAGCCCCGAGCUUAACUUGGGAAUUGCAUUUCAUACUGGGUCGCUAGAGUACUUUAGGGAGGGGUAGAAUUCCACGUGUAGCGGUGAAAUGCGUAGAGAUGUGGAGGAAUACCGAAGGCGAAGGCAGCCCCUUGGGAAUGUACUGACGCUCAUGUGCGAAAGCGUGGGGAGCAAACAGGAUUAGAUACCCUGGUAGUCCACGCUGUAAACGAUGUCGAUUUGGGGAUUGGGCUUUGAGCUUGGUGCCCGUAGCUAACGUGAUAAAUCGACCGCCUGGGGAGUACGGCCGCAAGGUUAAAACUCAAAUGAAUUGACGGGGGCCCGCACAAGCGGU
rnacentral:rRNA from 1 species